rnacentral:rRNA from 1 species
UGAGCAAUCUGCCCUUCUCUUCGGAAUAAGCGUUGGAAACGACGUCUAAUGCCGAAUACGACCUCCUUUCGCAUGAUCGGAGGUGGAAAGCUCCGGCGGAGAAGGAUGAGCUCGCGGCCUAUCAGCUAGUUGGUGUGGGUAAUGGCCCACAAGGCGACGACGGGUAGCCGGCCUGAGAGGCGACCGGCCACACUGGGACUGAGACACGGCCCAGACUCCUAGGGAGNAG